CCUACGGGAGGCUGCAGUGAGGAAUAUUGGUCAAUGGACGAGAGUCUGAACCAGCCAAGUAGCGUGAAGGAUGACUGCCCUAUGGGUUGUAAACUUCUUUUAUAUGGGAAUAAAACGUUCCACGUGUGGGAUUUUGUAUGUACCAUAUGAAUAAGGAUCGGCUAACUCCGUACCAGCAGCCGCGGUAAUCCGGAGGAUCCGAGCGUUAUCCGGAUUUAUUGGGUUUAAAGGGAGCGUAGGUGGAUUGUUAAGUCAGUUGUGAAAGUUUGCGGCUCAACCGUAAAAUUGCAGUUGAAACUGGCAGUCUGGAGUACAGUAGAGGUGGGCGGAAUGCGUGGUGUAGCGGUGAAAUGCUUAGAUAUCACGAAGAACUCCGAUUGCGAAGGCAGCUCACUGGACUGCAACUGACACUGAGGCUCGAAAGUGUGGGUAUCAAACAGGAUUAGAUACCCUAGUAGUC
rnacentral:rRNA from 1 species